AGUGAACGCUGGCGGUAGGCCUAACACAUGCAAGUCGAACGGCAGCGCAGUAAGAGCUUGCUCUUACGGGUGGCGAGUGGCGGACGGGUGAGGAAUACAUCUGAAUCUACUUUUUCGUGGCGGAUAACGUAGGGAAACUUACGCUAAUACCGCAUACGUCCUACUGGUGAAAGCAGGGGAUCUUCGGACCUUGCGCGAUUGAAUGAGCCGAUGUCGGAUUAGUUAGUUGGCGGGGUAAAGGCCCACCAAGGCGACGACCCGUAGGUGGGCUGUGAGGAUGAUCAGCCACACUGGAAGUGAGAGACGGUCCAGACACAUACGGAAGGCAGGAGUGGGUAAUGUAGGACGAUGGGCGGAAGCCUGCUCCAGCCAUCCAAGUAGGGUGAAGAAGGCCUGCGGGUUGGAAAGUCAUUUUGUUGGGUGAGAAAAGCAGCAGGUUAAGACCUCGCUGUUCUGACGGAACGCAAAGAAUAAGACCCGGCUAUUUUGGU
rnacentral:rRNA from 1 species